UACGUAGGGGGCGAGCGUUGUCCGGAUUCAUUGGGCGUAAAGAGCUCGUAGGCGGUUCGCUAAGUCAGGUGUGAAAAUCUCCGCGCUCAACGCGGAGGGGCCACCUGAUACUGGCGUGACUCGAGUGCCGGUAGGGAAGUGUGGAAUUCCCGGUGUAGCGGUGAAAUGCGCAGAUAUCGGGAGGAACACCAGUGGCGAAGGCGGCACUCUGGGCCGGAACGUGACGCUGAGAGCGGAAAGCGUGGGUAGCAAACGAG
rnacentral:rRNA from 1 species